rnacentral:rRNA from 1 species
UACGUAGGGGGCGAGCGUUGUCCGAAGUUACUGGGCGUAAAGCGCCCGUAGGCGGCUUAACAAGUUGGAUGUGAAAGCUCCCGGCUUAACUGGGAGAGGUCAUUCAAAACUGUUAGGCUAGAGGAUGGAAGAGGAGAGCGGAAUUCCCGGUGUAGUGGUGGAAUGCGUAGAGAUCGGGAGGAACACCAGUGGCGAAGGCAAUCCCCUGGGCCUGCACUGACGCUCAUGCACGAAAGCGUGGGGAGCAAACAGG